AUUGAACGCUGGCGGCAGGCUUAACACAUGCAAGUCGAGCGAGCGGAGGACGGGUGAGUAAUGUCUGGGAACCUGCCUGAUGGAGGGGGAUAACUACUGGAAACGGUAGCUAAUACCGCAUACCAUCAGAUGUGCCCAGAUGGGAUUAGCGAGUGGGUGGGGUAAUGGCUCACCUAGGCGACGAUCCCUAGCUGGUCUGAGAGGAUUACCGGCCACACUGGAACGGAGAAACGGUCCAGACUCCUAGGGGAGGCAGAAGUGGGGAAUAUUGGACAAUGGGCGCAAGCCUGAUGAAGACAUGCCGCGGGGGUGAAGAAGGUCUUCGAGUUGUAAAGCACUUUCAGCGAGGAGGCGUUACUCGCAGAAGAAGCAACGGCUAACUCCGUGCCAGCAGCCGCGGUAAUUC
rnacentral:rRNA from 1 species